CCACGGGGGGCUGCAGUGGGGAAUCAUGGUCAAUGGGCGAAAGCCUGAACCUGCGACGCCGCGUGAGUGAUGAAGGUCGUAAGAUCGUAAAACUCUUUUCAGGGAUCUUAAAGCCUGUCUGUCAACAACAGGCCGGUCUGACUCUCCCUGGAAGAAGCCCCAGCCAACUACGUGCCAGCAGCUGCGGUAAUACGUAGGGGGCGAGCGUUCUUCGGACUUACUGGGUGUCAAGGGUCUGUCGGCGGCCCUUCAAGUCGCGUGUCAAAGUCCAGUGCUCAACGCUGGGU
rnacentral:rRNA from 1 species